UCCCUGGUGGUCCAGUGGUUAGGACUCAGCACUUUCACUACUGGGGCCUGGAUUCGAUUCCUGGUCAGGGAA